rnacentral:rRNA from 1 species
GGGAUUACGGGAAUUAAGUGCUCAGCACAGCUUGGGCUUUUAUCAUAUGUAAAUAGUAUGGUGAAUAAGUGGUGGGUAAGACUGGUGCCAGCCGCCGCGGUAACACCAGCGCCACGAGUGGCAAUCGCGUUUAUUGGGCCUAAAGCGUCCGUAGCAGGUUUUGUAAAUUUCUUGUGAAACUGCCAGGCCUAACUUGGCAAUGUGCAGGAAACACUGCAAAACUAGAGACCGGGAAGGGUCGGAAGUAUUCCUGAGGGAGCGGUAAAAUGCUAUAAUCUCAGGAGGACUACCGGUGGCGAAGGCGUCCGACUAGAACGGAUCUGACUGUGAGGGACGAAAGCUAGGGGAGCAAACCGGAUUAGAUACCCGAGUAGUCCUAGCUGUAAACGCUGUGAGCUAGGUGUCGCGUAUUCUACGGGAAUGCGCGGUGUCGUAAGGAAGCUACUAAGCUCACCGCCUGGGAAGUACGGUCGCAAGACUGAAACUUUAAGGAAUUGGCGGGGGCGCACCACAAGGGGUGCGGCGUGCGGUUUAAUCUAACUCAACACAGAGAACCUUACUAGGGGCGACGGCAAGAUGAAGGUCAUGCUGAAGACAUUACUCGAUGAGCCGAGAGGUGGUGCAUGCCCGUCCCCAGCUCGUGCUAUGAAGUGUCCAGUUAAGUCUGGCAACGAGCGAGACCUGUAUCUCAAAUUGCUACAGCAUUACGUGGACUGAGCACAUUUGCAGGGACUGCCUUGGAAACAAGGAGGAAGUCAGCUACGGUAGUCUGUAUGCCCCGAAUCCCUUAGGCUACACGCGCGCAACAAUGGUAGACACAAUGGGAUCCAACUCUGAAAAGAGAAGCUAACCUCUAACCCUAUCCAAGUUCAGAUUGAGGUUAAACUCACGGUCAUACGUCGAAUCCCUAUAAUCAGGG